rnacentral:rRNA from 1 species
CCUACGGGCGGCUGCAGUGGGGGAUAUUGCACAAUGGGCGAAAGCCUGAUGCAGCAACGCCGCGUGAGGGAAGACGGUUUUCGGAUUGUAAACCUCUGUCUUCGGUGAAGAAACAAAUGACGGUAGCCGAGGAGGAAGCCACGGCUAACUACGUGCCAGCAGCCGCGGUAAUACGUAGGUGGCAAGCGUUGUCCGGAAUUACUGGGUGUAAAGGGAGCGCAGGCGGGGAGACAAGUCAGCUGUGAAAACUAUGGGCUUAACCCAUAAACUGCAGUUGAAACUGUUUUUCUUGAGUGGAGUAGAGGUAGGCGGAAUUCCGAGUGUAGCGGUGAAAUGCGUAGAUAUUCGGAGGAACACCAGUGGCGAAGGCGGCCUACUGGGCUCUAACUGACGCUGAGGCUCGAAAGUGUGGGGAGCAAACAGGCUUAGAUACCCCAGUAGUC